GAGGAAAGCAGAAGUGGACGACCUCCCUGAUAAUCUCUCUGUGAAACAGGCGCGGAUGCUGGAAACGCUGCGACUGAUUCUCUGAGCUGACCGCAGCUGCCGUCCUCCACGAGGGACUGAGCUGCCGAGAUGGCUGCCCCCUGCUGGAUGGUGGUGAUGCUGGCUCUCUUCCUGUCCCCUGAGAACAGUCUAGCUGCCGUGAACCCGGACACACUGG